CCUACGGGUGGCAGCAGUGAGGAAUAUUGGUCAAUGGACGAGAGUCUGAACCAGCCAAGUAGCGUGAAGGAUGACUGCCCUAUGGGUUGUAAACUUCUUUUAUAUGGGAAUAAAACGUUGCACGUGUGGGAUUUUGUAUGUACCAUAUGAAUAAGGAUCGGCUAACUCCGUGCCAGCAGCCGCGGUAAUACGGAGGAUCCGAGCGUUAUCCGGAUUUAUUGGGUUUAAAGGGAGCGUAGGUGGGUUGUUAAGUCAGUUGUGAAAGUUUGCGGCUCAACCGUAAAAUUGCAGUUGAUACUGGCAGUCUUGAGUACAGUAGAGGUGGGCGGAAUUCGUGGUGUAGCGGUGAAAUGCUUAGAUAUCACGAAGAACUCCGAUUGCGAAGGCAGUUCACUGGACUGCAACUGACACUGAGGCUCGAAAGUGUGGGUAUCAAACAGGAUUAGAUACCCCUGUAGUC
rnacentral:rRNA from 1 species